GUGUCAGCAGCCGCGGUAAUACGGAGGGGGCUAGCGUUGUUCGGAAUUACUGGGCGUAAAGCGCACGUAGGCGGACUGUUAAGUCGGGGGUGAAAUCCUGGGGCUCAACCUCAGAAUUGCCUCCGAUACUGGCAGUCUCGAGUGCGGGAGAGGUGAGUGGAAUUCCCAGUGUAGAGGUGAAAUUCGUAGAUAUUGGGAAGAACACCAGUGGCGAAGGCGGCUCACUGGCCCGUAACUGACGCUGAGGUGCGAAAGCGUGGGGAGCAAACAGGAUUAGAAACCCUCGUAGUCC
rnacentral:rRNA from 1 species